AAAUUGAAGAGUUUGAUCAUGGCUCAGAUUGAACGCUGGCGGCAGGCCUAACACAUGCAAGUCGAACGGUAACAGGAAGCAGCUUGCUGCUUUGCUGACGAGUGGCGGACGGGUGAGUAAUGUCUGGGAAACUGCCUGAUGGAGGGGGAUAACUACUGGAAACGGUAGCUAAUACCGCAUAACGUCGCAAGACCAAAGAGGGGGACCUUCGGGCCUCUU
rnacentral:rRNA from 1 species